rnacentral:rRNA from 1 species
UACGAAGGGGGCUAGCGUUGUUCGGAAUUACUGGGCGUAAAGCGCGCGCAGGCGGUCUUUCAAGUCAGUGGUGAAAGCCUGGAGCUCAACUCCAGAACUGCCAUUGAAACUGCAAGACUUGAGUACGAGAGAGGUGAGUGGAAUUCCCAGUGUAGAGGUGAAAUUCGUAGAUAUUCGGAAGAACACCAGUGGCGAAGGCGACUUACUGGACACAUACUGACGCUGAGGUGCGAAAGCGUGGGGAGCAAACAGG